CCCCUAGAUGUUCUGGGCCGCACGCGCGCUACACUGAACAGUUCAACAAGUCUUAACCUUGGCCGAUAGGUCUGGGUAAUCUUUGAACGCUGUUCGUGAUUGGGAUAGACCUUUGCAAUUAUGGGUCUUCAACGAGGAAUUCCUAGUAAACGCAAGUCAUCAGCUUGCAUUGAUUACGUCCCUGCCCUUUGUACACACCGCCCGUCGCACCUACCGAUUGAAUGGUCCGGUGAAUUCUCGGGACGGCGGCUCGGUCGCUUGCGUCCGACUGCUGAAACUUGAUUAAACCAUAUCAUUUAGAGGAAGGUGAAGUCGUAACA
rnacentral:rRNA from 1 species